GGACUACUGGGGUAUCUAAUCCUGUUUGCUACCCACACUUUCGAGCCUCAGCGUCAGUUGGUGCCCAGUAGGCCGCCUUCGCCACUGGUGUUCCUCCCGAUAUCUACGCAUUCCACCGCUACACCGGGAAUUCCGCCUACCUCUGCACUACUCAAGAAAAACAGUUUUGAAAGCAGUUUAUGGGUUGAGCCCAUAGAUUUCACUUCCAACUUGUCUUCCCGCCUGCGCUCCCUUUACACCCAGUAAUUCCGGACAACGCUUGUGACCUACGUUUUACCGCGGCUGCUGGCACGUAGUUAGCCGUCACUUCCUUGUUGAGUACCGUCAUUAUCUUCCUCAACAACAGGAGUUUACAAUCCGAAGACCUUCUUCCUCCACGCGGCGUCGCUGCAUCAGGGUU
rnacentral:misc_RNA from 1 species